UUGGAGGGCAAGUCUGGUGCCAGCAGCCGCGGUAAUUCCAGCUCCAAUAGCGGAUAUUAAAGUUGUUGCAGUUAAAAAGCUCGUAGUUGAAUUUCGAGAUCAGUACGCUGGUCGUGCCUUCGGUAUGCACUGGUGUCACUGGUUUCUCCCUUCUGAAGAACCGUCAUGUCAUUAAGUUGGUGUGGCGGGGAAUCAGGACUGUUACUUUGAAAAAAUUAGAGUGUUUAAAGCAGGCUCGCGCUUGAAUACAUUAGCAUGGAAUAAUGAAAUAGGACGUUUGACCCUAUUUUGUUGGUUUCUAGGAUCGACGUAAUGAUUAAUAGGGAUAGUUGGGGGCAUUAGUAUUCAAUUGUCAGAGGUGAAAUUCUUGGAUUUAUUGAAGACUAACUACUGCGAAAGCAUUUGCCAAGGAUGUUUUCAUUAAUCAAGAACGAAAGUUAGGGGAUCGAAGACGAUCAGAUACCGUCGUAGUCUUAACCAUAAACUAUGCCGACUAGGGAUCGGAUGAUGUUAAUUUUUUAAUGACUCAUUCGGCGCCUUACGGGAAAC
rnacentral:rRNA from 1 species